GCAGGUAAGGGCAAUCUGGCUGUGACUUCUGACACCCCACUGAUUGUCAACAUGGAUUCCACUGAUCUGGCUGGCUAGGUUGGUGUGUCCUUUCUCUCUCACCAGUUCAUGUCUGUCCCACCAAAACUCUGUGCUCGGCUGACGAAGACAAGCUUCCCAAUAGAAGACCAGUUUUUAGUCCAGU
rnacentral:snRNA from 1 species